rnacentral:rRNA from 1 species
AUUGAACGCUGGCGGCGUGCUUAACACAUGCAAGUCGUGCGGUAACAGGCGUAGCAAUACGUGCUGACGAGCGGCGAACGGGUGCGUAAUACAUGGGAAUCUGCCCUUUAGUGGGGAAUAACCCGGCGAAAGCCGGGCUAAUGCCGCAUAAGAUCUUCGGAUGAAAGCGGGGGAUCGUAAGACCUCGCGCUGAUGGAUGAGCCCAUGUCGGAUUAGCUAGUUGGUGAGGUAACGGCUCACCAAGGCGACGAUCCGUAGCUGGUCUGAGAGGACGGCCAGCCACACUGGGACUGAGACACGGCCCAGACUCCUACGGGAGGCAGCAGUGGGGAAUAUUGGACAAUGGGCGAAAGCCUGAUCCAGCGACGCCGCGUGUGUGAAGAAGGCCUGCGGGUUGUAAAGC